ACGAGAAUAGCUUGCUAUUCGGCGUCGAGCGGCGGACGGGUGAGUAAUGCUUGGGAAUAUGCCUUUAGGUGGGGGACAACAGUUGGAAACGACUGCUAAUACCGCAUAACGUCUACGGACCAAAGUGGGGGACCUUCGGGCCUCAUGCCUAUAGAUUAGCCCAAGUGAGAUUAGCUAGUAGGUAAGGUAAUGGCUUACCUAGGCGACGAUCUCUAGCUGGUUUGAGAGGAUGAUCAGCCACACUGGGACUGAGACACGGCCCAGACUCCUACGGGAGGCAGCAGUGGGGAAUAUUGCGCAAUGGGCGAAAGCCUGAUGCAGCCAUGCCGCGUGUGUGAAGAAGGCCUUCGGGUUGUAAAGCACUUUCAGUCGUGAGGAAAGGGUGUAAGUUAAUACCUUGCAUCUGUGACGUUAGCGACAGAAGAAGCACCGGCUAACUCCGUGCCAGCAGCCGCGGUAAUACGGAGGGUGCGAGCGUCAAUCGGAAUUACUGGGCGUAAAGCGUGCGUAGGCGGUUUCUUAAGCGAGAUGUGAAAUCCCGGGGCUUAACCUCGGAACUGCAUUUCGAACUGGGUGACUAGAGUACCGUAGAGGGUGGUGGAAUUUCCAGUGUAGCGGUGAAAUGCGUAGAGAUUGGAAGGAACAUCAGUGGCGAAGGCGGCCACCUGGACAGAUACUGACGCUGAGGCACGAAAGCGUGGGGAGCAAACAGGAUUAAAUACCCUGGUAGUCCACGCCGUAAACGACGUCAACUAGCUGUCUGUGUUCUUGAAACGUGGGUAGCGUAGCUAACGCGCUAAGUUGACCGCCUGGGGAGUACGGCCGCAGGUUAAAACUCAAGUGAAUUGACGGGGGCCCGCGCAAGCGGUGGAGCAUGUGAUUUA
rnacentral:rRNA from 1 species